rnacentral:rRNA from 1 species
GAUGAACGCUGGCGGCGUGCCUAAUACAUGCAAGUCGAGCGAACGGACGAGAAGCUUGCUUCUCUGAUGUUAGCGGCGGACGGGUGAGUAACACGUGGAUAACCUACCUAUAAGACUGGGAUAACUUCGGGAAACCGGAGCUAAUACCGGAUGAUAUUUUGAACCGCAUGGUUCAAAAGUGAAAGACGGUCUUGCUGUCACUUAUAGAUGGAUCCGCGCUGCAUUAGCUAGUUGGUAAGGUAACGGCUUACCAAGGCAACGAUGCAUAGCCGACCUGAGAGGGUGAUCGGCCACACUGGAACUGAGACACGGUCCAGACUCCUACGGGAGGCAGCAGUAGGGAAUAUUCCGCAAUGGGCGAAAGCCUGACGGAGCAACGCCGCGUGAGUGAUGAAGGUCUUCGGAUCGUAAAACUCUGUUAUUAGGGAAGAACAUAUGUGUAAGUAAAUGUGCACAUCUUGACGGUACCUAAUCAGAAAGCCACGGCUAACUACGUG